AUUGAACGCUGGCGGCAGGCCCAACACAUGCAAGUCGAGCGGAUGAAGGGAGCUUGCUCCUGGAUUCAGCGGCGGACGGGUGAGUAAUGCCUAGGAAUCUGCCUGGUAGUGGGGGAUAACGUCCGGAAACGGGCGCUAAUACCGCAUACGUCCUGAGGGAGAAAGUGGGGGAUCUUCGGACCUCACGCUAUCAGAUGAGCCUAGGUCGGAUUAGCUAGUUGGUGGGGUAAAGGCCUACCAAGGCGACGAUCCGUAACUGGUCUGAGAGGAUGAUCAGUCACACUGGAACUGAGACACGGUCCAGACUCCUACGGGAGGCAGCAGUGGGGAAUAUUGGACAAUGGGCGAAAGCCUGAUCCAGCCAUGCCGCGUGUGUGAAGAAGGUCUUCGGAUUGUAAAGCACUUUAAGUUAGGAGGAAGGGCAGUAAGUUAAUACCUUGCUGUUUUGACGUUACCAACAGAAUAAGCACCGGCUAACUUCGUG
rnacentral:rRNA from 1 species